UACGUAGGGGGCGAGCGUUGUCCGGAAUUAUUGGGCGUAAAGCGCGCGCAGGCGGUCCUUUAAGUCAGGAGUUUAAGCCCGGGGCUCAACCCCGGUACGCUUCUGAAACUGGGGGACUUGAGUGCAGGAGAGGAGAGCGGAAUUCCACGUGUAGCGGUGAAAUGCGUAGAGAUGUGGAGGAACACCAGUGGCGAAGGCGGCUCUCUGGCCUGUAACUGACGCUGAGGCGCGAAAGCGUGGGGAGCAAACA
rnacentral:rRNA from 1 species